UCAAUGACACGCUUUGCCAAACUUCAUGGCCCUCUAAUUUCAUUGAGGCUCGGUACUCAAGUUGUUAUUUUUGGCUCUUCUCCGACUGCAGCAGCUGAAAUUCUAAAAAAUCACGAUCGUUUGCUUUCUGCUAGAUGGACACCUAAAGUGAUUCCGCGCAAAAUCCAUGAACUUGAACGUAUAUCUGUUAUUUGGAAUCCCACAUGCGAUGACCAGUGGAAGUCCUUGCGAGCCUUGUUCAGGACCGAGCUUUUCUCUGCCAAAGCCAUCAAAUCUCAAGCCACUUUGAGGGAGAAGAAAUUGUCGGAGUUGGUGGAAUUUUUAACUACCCAACAAGGGCAAGUAAUCAAUAUUGGAGAAAUUGUGUUUGCUACUGUUUUCAAUACAAUUUCUAAUCUUAUAUUCUCCAAGGACUUGAUUGGUUUGGAAGAUAAAGGGGUAGCUAGUGGAUUGAAAAGCCUGUUUUGGAGGAUGAUGGAGUUGGGCUCUGCUCCAAACAUAGCAGAAUUUUAUCCCAUCUUAGAGGGGUUGGAUCCUCAGGGUUUAAGAAGAAAAGUUUCAGAGUGCAUUAUGCAAAUUUUUGGUGUAUGGGAAAUUUAUAUCAAGGAGAGAAGAGAAAAGCAUGUCAAUGAUGCUCCCAAAACAGAUUUCUUGGAUGUUUUUCUUUCCAGUGGAUUUGAUGACGAUCUAAUCAAUUGGUUGAUUGUUGUAUGCAGACUCUCUCCUAUCUUUUUAGUGUGUUGUUUUUGCAUAUUGUUUUUAAUUGAUAUAAAUCCUUGGUUAUCAUUUCAGGAAUUGAUGAGUGCAGGCGUAGAAACUACCACCACAACGGUGGAGUGGGCAAUGGCUGAGAUUCUGAAGAAUAAACGAGUCAUGGAAAAAGUUGGGGAAGAGCUGCAAAGGGUAAUCAACAGGGGCACAAUACACGAAUCUGAAGUUUCUCAACUCACAUACGUUAAUGCAGUUGUAAAGGAAACAUUGAGGUUACAUCCUCCUGCUCCAUUUCUCCUUCCACAUCGAGCUCCUGAAACUUGUGAAGUUAUGAAUUAUACAAUUCCAAAAGAUUCUCAAAUAUUUGUCAAUGUUUGGGCAAUUGGACGAGAUCCUUCAGUUUGGGAAGAUCCUUUGUCAUUUAAACCUGAAAGAUUUUUGGAAUCGAGUUUAGAUUUGAAAGGUCAUGAUUUUGAGCUGAUACCCUUUGGUUCAGGAAGGCGGAUUUGCCCAGGACUAACGAUGGCUAUAAGGCAAACUCCCAUGAUUUUGGCCUCUUUAGUACAUUACUUUGAAUGGUCUCUUGAAAAUGGUGAAGAUCCUGCAACGAUAGACAUGAAUGAUAAGUUUGGCGUCACAUUGCAGAAAGAGAAGCCUCUCCUCGUUAUUCCUCGACGGAAAUUGUAGAUUUGGAGAUUGCGUGUUUUUAGUUUGUUUUCUGUUGUACGAAUAUUUGCGCUGUUACGAAUAAACUGAAUUUGUUUUCUAGAUUCCAUUAAUCCUAACUAGCUAUAUUGUUUUUCUGAUUCUUCAAAGAAGAAAGAUAUAUAUGAUGUUGAGGCUUUUUAGUGAUAUAGAUAAAAUAAUCCAGCCUUUAAGAGAUUGGAUAUUAACAAAAGCAGUAUAGUGGAUAUAUCCAGAGGUGUGAAGACCGAUCUAACCGAUAAAAAUACAUCUAUCAAAAAUAAAUAAUAGCAAUAUGUAAAAAACAUCACAUGUAGAGCCUCAGAAAAACUAAUCAAUUUUUUUAAUUUUCUCAAUUUAAAAGUUCUAACCGGCCAUACAAAAAGAAAAAAAAAAAAAUCUAUUUACAAUCUUAUUCAAAAGAAAUGGAAAAGAGAAAAUUAUUAUUCAAAUAUGAAACUCAUAAAACCAUAUUUUAUAUAUUGAAAAAUUGAUUUUUUCACCCAAAUCUAAAUAAUAUGAUCCAUUUCCCGACAUAUUUUUUGGAUUUAAAAUCUUUUUUUUUUUAAAAUUUAGAUAGUCUACCCAUAUCCAUGAAAUCCAUAAUUUUUACAAUUAAAUUUUUUUCUCAAUUUUAAAUAAUUUGAUCAUUACAUAUGAAACUCAUUUUUCUAAAAAAAAAUUAAUUUGAAAAUUUUCUUGAAUUAUAACAAAUUGAGAUAAACAAUAAAAUUCAAUCACCUAAUUAAAAUAUGUAGCUAUUUUCAUCAGAAUAUCUAUUUGAUAAAAGAAAUAUGUAGAAUUUUAGAAAAUUACACAAAUAUCCAUAAUUUUUUUUAUAAAAAUUUGAAGGGCCAUAGCCUCCCUUGACCCAUGCUCAACUUCGCCGCCUGCUAUUAGCCGACUAAAUACAACAAAUUGAAAGAUAUUGUCGAACUGAAGAUCAAUACCUAAUUUUAUACUGUAUUUAAUAUUAUUCUGUGAUGAAAUUAAAUAAAAAGUUGAAUUAUGGUGUAUUGAAGAUAGCAAUUGUAUUGUACUCCUUAAUUGUUUUCAGAUUCUUGAAGAAAAAAAAAAUGAUGUUGAGGAUUUUUAUUGAUAUAGAUCGAAUAAUCUAAAUGUAAUACCCCUACAUGAUUAUUUAAUUAACCGAGUCGGAGACAUUAUAUUAUGAAAUAAUUCUCUUAUUUUUUACAUAAUUUAUAUCAUAUAAUUCAUAGCCUUUUUUUUAAAAAAUUCAGCAGAAUUUUUCCUGAAAUAUGGGUUUAAUUCUUCACUUGAAUAGUAAUAUUACACUUCUAUAAACUUCAACCUUAACCUCCAAAUUUCUUUUAAUAUCAACAUAAUUUCAAUUCAGAUAUUAAUGCAGUUCUUGAUCUACUGCUCCUUCAAUCUACAACCUGCGCGAGGAAGAAUACAUUCCUACACGCUAAGCAAAUUGCGUAGUGGUGCUCAACUUUUACUUAUAUUUAAAAAUAAAUCAUUUAAAUCAGAAUUCAUUUAUCAACAAUAAAUCAAACAAAUAACAAUAAAUUAUAUAAUAAAUAAUUUGAAAUAAUUCUAAAUCAUAUUAUUAUUUCACAUAUAUACAAAUUUUAAUUUCAUAGUCUUUUUCUUUUUCUUCAUGUAAAAAGUUUUAUUUUCUCUUAAUACUUUUAUUUAUUUAUUAUUUUUUUUGGUUUCUAUAAGUUUAAAUGGGACUGUUAAGUCAGAUAAAUAAACUGUAUCUGUAGGGUACAAAGUACCAAAUAACUGUAUGACUCAAAAGCCGAGUCUAUAACUGUAGGAUACAUCAUUAUAUCCCAAAAAUCAAUGUAACUGUAGUGCAGUACUACAAGAUCUGUAUAGGGCAUGCCACACCUUUAAACUAACUCACAAUUCUCACCAAACUUAUUAAGAUUAGACUUUAAAUAAUUUAUACAUUUAAACAAGGGAACUAAAACUUUCAAUAUAAUAUAACUUUCAAUUAUUCAAACUAUAAUAUUUUAUCAUAUUACAACUGUACUUUUAAACAUUUUCAUAUAAAUCUAUUAAUUUAAUUCAAUUACAUAAAUUAUAAAUUCAUAAUUUAAUCCUUAAUUAAUUAACUAUUAUUAUUUUUAUUAUUAUUAUUUUUUUAAUCUAUUUAUCAUGAUAUACCAUAUCUCAUUUUUCUUUUUCUUUUAAUUUUUAUUUCUAUCCAACAAUUUUCUUUUAACCCUAACUUAACUAAUUUACAAUGUUUGACAUGGUAUUUCUUAUUUAGACUAAUAAUUAAUUUUUUUAUUAUUAUUAUUACUAUAUCUUAACCAAAUUACAUCCUAUAAAAGAAAGUAGAGACAUUCCACUUGGUCCAUAACUUGAAUUUUACUCAAAUUACAUAUUAAUUUCAAAAUUUUCUAUUUAUCAAAUUUAUCAUUUCUUCAAAUUUUAAUCAUAUUAUAUAACUAAAAUAUUAUUCACUUGAUCUAAUUCUACUAAAGUAGUAAAAUUUUCAAAUAAAACUUAAUUAACAAAUUAUUGAAUUUAUUCAAAUAAAGUUGAGCACAAACCUUAAACCUCCUAAAAUCUUCCACAAACUUAAAAUUUUCAAAUCUUUCUUUUCUUUCCCUUUAAAGUUUUCACUCUUCCCUUCCACUUCUUCUUCAUUAAAAAUAAAUAAAUAAAUCAUAUUAAUAUAAUAUUCUUCAUAAAUAUUCACGUAAAAAUGAUAAAAAAAUCCCUACAUCAAAAUCCCCUAACAUACCUUUAAAUUUUCAAACUCUUGAUUACUAUUUACUCUCCCUAAUUUCGAAUUUUUUCUUUGAUUUCUUUUCUUUUUUUAAAUUCUACUUUAAAAAUGUAUGGGAGAAAAUGAGUAAUUGAUUGGAGAUAGAAAUUUGAAGAAAUUUAGUGUAGAAGAGAAAAGAUGAAGAAGUAGAGUUUUAUUGUUGUUUACGGAAAGGGGAAGAAAAAUGGAAAAAAAUGUAUUUUCUUUUCUUCUAAUCUUUUCUUCUUUCUUCUUUUCUUUUUUUUUAAGGGAAAUGGCUAGCAAAUUGCCACAUGUGCUUAACUUAAAAUUUAAUUUAUUAUUUUUUUUCUUUUUCUCGUUUUUCUUUUUUUUAUUCUUAUUAUUUAUUUUAUUAUUUAUUAUUUUAUUUUAUUUUAUUUAUUUAUUUUUAUUUUAUUUUUAGGAUGUUACGCUAACCUUUUAAAUUAUUACAAUAUAUGAACAAAAUAGUAAAGUUGAAAUUAUAUAUAUCAACCGGCUUUCUUAAUUUUCUGAAUGUAAAACUUCUAUUCAGCUAUAUCAAAAGAAAAAGAAAGUAUAUAUAAUCUAAUUAUUUAAAACAAGUGAAAAGGUAAAAGUUAUUAUUCAGACAAAAGAGGAUAGCCUUUUUCUAUUUUAUAUUUAAUAUUUCAUAAUUUUUAUUUGCAUUACCUUUUUAUAAUAUUUUUUAUUAACUUUUUAAUUAUACACAUUUUAAAUAUAUUAAAUUUUAUUAAAUAUUAUACAUAUUUUAGAUACUCAAUUUGAAAUACUAAAAAUAUUUUGAGUAUUUAUUUAAAAAAUAAUAAUUUAUGUGAAGUUAUUUUAAAAAUAAAAUAGAAUUAUAAUAGUUAAUUUAUAUAUUAUUACAAUAUUAAAAAAUAAUAAUAAUAAAAAAAUUACGAGAUGAAAAUAGUAUAAAAUUAAAUAAAAAAUUGAAUGACUGAAAAUAGCGAUUGCAUGUUAGUAAAUGGAUAUUAAUUGUCUUCCUGAAUCUAUAGGCACAUAUGCGCAAAGACAACGGUAGAGAAUUAAUGAAAUGGCAAAUCACACAGCUUGCUUGUUGCUUCCUUGGUCCCCUUCUAAUCAAAUGGCAACCCUUAGGCCCAUUACCCAUAAAACUAACCUUUUUUUUUAUAAUAUUCAUUUUUAGCAUAAAAAAUUAUUUAAUUAAAAAAAAUCUAAUUAAAAUUGUAUUAAAACCUAAAACAGAUUUACCAUUAAUUUGCACUCCAAGACUUAGCCUGGUGGAAAGUGCAUCCUAUAGUCUUAAAAGGUUUAAGGUUCGACUCCCCCAAUCUUUAUUUCAAAAAAAAAGAUUUACUAUUAAUUUUUAUCUCAGGAUUAAACCUCUAUUACCCGAUUUAAGACAAGUAACAUAAAAUAUAAUAAAUAAAAUAUGAUAUAAUCAUUAUAUUCUAAUUGAAAUAUUUAAAUUUAUUGAAAUAGGACGAUUUAUAAUUUGUUAAUAUUUUUAAUCAAUAUCAUUUAAUUAAAUUAUUUAUUUUAAAAUUUUUUUUUAGGAAUCUCAAAUAAAUAUUAUAAAUAAAAUUUUUUUUCAUCUCUUAAGUUUAAUUUAAAUUUUUAUAAAAUUUAAAACUAAUCAUCUCAUAUAAUCGGAACUCUCUUCUGGUGUUAUAUGCACAGCUGAAGGUUCCCAAUAAGCCCAAAUCUGUAAACAAUGGUGCAUAGUGCAACAUAGGAUGGGUAACCUUUUUGUUAGCCAAUAGUUUCUUAAUCGAAAUUAUUCGGUGCUCUGAAAUUAUGACGAAACAAGAAAUAUGUGGUACUCGUAAUUAAUAAAAUUAAAAAUUAUUUUUUAUAUUAUUAUUUAUUUACGAUAGUUACAUAUUGAUAUGUUAGAAUUUAAUGGGUUGUAGUACCACUACCAAACUCAUCCAUCCAUCCAAAUCUACCAGCAAAAUUCAUGUCAGCUAACAGUUGAGAUGAAGAGAUGUGAAAUGGCAUGUUAGUGAAGAUCAAGAGAUGGGUAGUAUUUUUUAGACCAUUUCUUUUACGAAAAUAUUUUUUAAAAAAAUAUUUUUCAUAUUUUAUGAUGUUUAAAAUAUUUAAUUAAUAAAAAAUAUUUUUUUAUUAAAAUAAAAUGUUAAAAGUUUAUAUUAACAAUUAAAAAUAAUAAAGAGGAACUUAUAUAUAUUGAGUGUAAAUAUCUAAAAUUUAUUAAAUUUGAAUUAGAAAAUGAAAUUAUGAGAGAUGCAAAGAGGUAAAAGAUAAUUUUUAAUUUACUCUACAUACUUCUUUUGCCUCCUUUAUGUUGAAAUCAAUUAAUGAGUAUAUAGUAAUGAUAUUAUUUUAUUUUAAAAAUUUCUUAGAUUUUCAAUUAAUUAUAUAAUAUAUUUAUUGAAUUUAAUUAUUCAGAAAAUUUUAAAAAGCAAUUUCAUUUUAUAUAAAAUAAAAAAAUAUAAUUAAUUGAAAAAUUAAACAUUAACUAUUAACAUGCAUAUUAAUGUUUUCUAAAAUUAUAUAAAAAAUCUGCUUAAUUGUAUAUAGCCUAUUUUUAAAAUUAUAAAAUUAUCAUUUAUAAUUUUUAUUAUAUCUAAAAUAAUAAAUAAAAGAAACAUAAAAUAAUAAAUAAUUCAUUUUAAAUUUAACAAUAAAAUUAAAAUAAAUAAAUGAUUUUUUUUCCCAAAGAAAUGAUAAAAAUUCGAUACUGAUCGAUCUCCAGAUCAUAAUAAUAAGUAUAGCAAUAAUGAGCGAACUUUCGAGGCUCUUCGAAGCAGAAACAUUCAUGACUCUUAUAAGUAAGAAGUUACCUUGAGCAGAUUCAGUUGAGGCCCGUCUCUCUGUAAGACAUGGAUCAAACACCUUCUUCUAAAGAAUUCAGUCUCUUAUCUCCUCCCAUUUUCUUACUUCUGCCUGUUAUCUUUAUCAUCAUCAAGCAUAUUGCCUCUCUAUCUUCGAAUCGGCGGCCUCUUCCUCCAGGUCCCAGGCCAUGGCCUAUCGUAGGCAACAUUUUUCAUCUCGACAAAAAGCUACACAUCUCAACGACACGCUUUGCCAAACUUCAUGGCCCUCUAAUUUCAUUGAGGCUCGGUACUCAAGUAGUUAUUUUUGGCUCUUCUCCGACUGCAGCAGCUGAAAUUCUAAAAAAUCACGACCGUUUGCUAUCUGCUAGAUGGACACUUAAAGUGAUUCCGCGCAAAAUCCAUGAACUUGAACGUAUAUCUGUUAUUUGGAAUCCCACAUGCAAUGACCAGUGGAAGUCCUUGCGAGCCUUGUUCAGGACCGAGCUUUUCUCUGCCAAAGCCAUCCAAUCUCAAGCCACUUUGAGG
rnacentral:lncRNA from 1 species